rnacentral:rRNA from 1 species
GAUAUGAACCGUUAUAACCGGCGAUACCCGAAUGGGGAAACCCAGUGUGACUCGUCACACUAUCAUUAACUGAAUCCAUAGGUUAAUGAGGCGAACCGGGGGAACUGAAACAUCUAAGUACCCCGAGGAAAAGAAAUCAACCGAGAUUCCCCCAGUAGCGGCGAGCGAACGGGGAGGAGCCCAGAGCCUGAAUCAGCAUGUGUGUUAGUGGAAGCGUCUGGAAAGGCGCGCGAUACAGGGUGACAGCCCCGUACACAAAAGCGCAUGUGCUGUGAGCUCGAUGAGUAGGGCGGGACACGUGGUAUCCUGUCUGAAUAUGGGGGGACCAUCCUCCAAGGCUAAAUACUCCUGACUGACCGAUAGUGAACCAGUACCGUGAGGGAAAGGCGAAAAGAACCCCGGCGAGGGGAGUGAAAAAGAACCUGAAACCGUGUACGUACAAGCAGUGGGAGCACAGGUUUACCUGUGUGACUGCGUACCUUUUGUAUAAUGGGUCAGCGACUUAUAUUCUGUAGCAAGGUUAACCGAAUAGGGGAGCCGGAGGGAAACCGAGUCUUAAUUGGGCGUUAAGUUGCAGGGUAUAGACCCGAAACCCGGUGAUCUAGCCAUGGGCAGGUUGAAGGUUGGGUAACACUAACUGGAGGACCGAACCGACUAAUGUUGAAAAAUUAGCGGAUGACCUGUGGCUGGGGGUGAAAGGCCAAUCAAACCGGGAGAUAGCUGGUUCUCCCCGAAAGCUAUUUAGGUAGCGCCUCGUGAAUUCAUCUCCGGGGGUAGAGCACUGUUUCGGCUAGGGGGCCAUCCCGGCUUACCAACCCGAUGCAAACUGCGAAUACCGGAGAAUGUUAUCACGGGAGACACACGGCGGGUGCUAACGUCCGUCGUGAAGAGGGAAACAACCCAGACCGCCAGCUAAGGUCCCAAAGUCAUGGUUAAGUGGGAAACGAUGUGGGAAGGCCCAGACAGCCAGGAUGUUGGCUUAGAAGCAGCCAUCAUUUAAAGAAAGCGUAAUAGCUCACUGGUCGAGUCGGCCUGCGCGGAAGAUGUAACGGGGCUAAACCAUGCACCGAAGCUGCGGCAGCGACACUGUGUGUUGUUGGGUAGGGGAGCGUUCUGUAAGCCUGCGAAGGUGGCCUGUGAGGGUUGCUGGAGGUAUCAGAAGUGCGAAUGCUGACAUAAGUAACGAUAAAGCGGGUGAAAAGCCCGCUCGCCGGAAGACCAAGGGUUCCUGUCCAACGUUAAUCGGGGCAGGGUGAGUCGACCCCUAAGGCGAGGCCGAAAGGCGUAGUCGAUGGGAAACGGGUUAAUAUUCCCGUACUUGGUGUUACUGCGAAGGGGGGACGGAGAAGGCUAUGUUGGCCGGGCGACGGUUGUCCCGGUUUAAGCGUGUAGGUGUGUGUUCCAGGUAAAUCCGGUUCACUUUAACACUGAGGCGUGACGACGAGGCACUACGGUGCUGAAGCAACAAAUGCCCUGCUUCCAGGAAAAGCCUCUAAGCAUCAGGUAACAUCAAAUCGUACCCCAAACCGACACAGGUGGUCAGGUAGAGAAUACCAAGGCGCUUGAGAGAACUCGGGUGAAGGAACUAGGCAAAAUGGUGCCGUAACUUCGGGAGAAGGCACGCUGACACGUAGGUGAAGUGAUUUACUCAUGGAGCUGAAGUCAGUCGAAGAUACCAGCUGGCUGCAACUGUUUAUUAAAAACACAGCACUGUGCAAACACGAAAGUGGACGUAUACGGUGUGACGCCUGCCCGGUGCCGGAAGGUUAAUUGAUGGGGUCAGCGCAAGCGAAGCUCCUGAUCGAAGCCCCGGUAAACGGCGGCCGUAACUAUAACGGUCCUAAGGUAGCGAAAUUCCUUGUCGGGUAAGUUCCGACCUGCACGAAUGGCGUAAUGAUGGCCAGGCUGUCUCCACCCGAGACUCAGUGAAAUUGAACUCGCUGUGAAGAUGCAGUGUACCCGCGGCAAGACGGAAAGACCCCGUGAACCUUUACUAUAGCUUGACACUGAACAUUGAGCCUUGAUGUGUAGGAUAGGUGGGAGGCUUUGAAGUGUGGACGCCAGUCUGCAUGGAGCCGACCUUGAAAUACCACCCUUUAAUGUUUGAUGUUCUAACGUGGACCCGUUACCCGGGUUGCGGACAGUGUCUGGUGGGUAGUUUGACUGGGGCGGUCUCCUCCUAAAGAGUAACGGAGGAGCACGAAGGUUGGCUAAUCCUGGUCGGACAUCAGGAGGUUAGUGCAAUGGCAUAAGCCAGCUUGACUGCGAGCGUGACGGCGCGAGCAGGUGCGAAAGCAGGUCAUAGUGAUCCGGUGGUUCUGAAUGGAAGGGCCAUCGCUCAACGGAUAAAAGGUACUCCGGGGAUAACAGGCUGAUACCGCCCAAGAGUUCAUAUCGACGGCGGUGUUUGGCACCUCGAUGUCGGCUCAUCACAUCCUGGGGCUGAAGUAGGUCCCAAGGGUAUGGCUGUUCGCCAUUUAAAGUGGUACGCGAGCUGGGUUUAGAACGUCGUGAGACAGUUCGGUCCCUAUCUGCCGUGGGCGCUGGAGAACUGAGGGGGGCUGCUCCUAGUACGAGAGGACCGGAGUGGACGCAUCACUGGUGUUCGGGUUGUCAUGCCAAUGGCACUGCCCGGUAGCUAAAUGCGGAAGAGAUAAGUGCUGAAAGCAUCUAAGCACGAAACUUGCCCCGAG